AGGUAAUAGCGGACAGAUUGGGAGGACCCCUGGGCUGUUUGUUAGAACAUACGCUCCAACUGCCCUAUUCGUGAAGACUUUGCAGAUGGUAGCGUGUGGAGAGGUUGUGGCUUGGCGGAACAGAACGAUGAAGUAUGUUGUUUGAGAAAUGCGCAUAGGGUGGAGACAACGAGCCACGCGACGGUGGCGAGCCUUGGGAAAGAAGAAAGGUAAAGAGGAAGACAGUAAGAAGGAAGAAGAGGAGGUUUCUGAUAAAACCCAGGAUCAAGAUAAGGAUGAUUGCAUGUCUGUUGACUAACUGGUGUCCAUGGAUAUGUUUGCCUUAAAAUUUAUAUCUUGUUUUACCAAUGGAUACUUUUGCAUAGAUUUGUAAAGGGACCUAUGACCUCACUGUGGAAUUGCAUGUCAAAGGUAUUCCUUUAAUAUUUAUCAGUUAGGAGAUAGUGAUGUGAUGCUGACAGUACUCUCCUGUAAUAAUGGCACAAAUGUUCAUUAUUGUAUUAGUUGCUUUGUAAUGUACAAGUUGGGAUUUUUGAAUGUAGUUUUGAUAAGUCUGAAACAGCAGACUAAUAGAACUCAUUAAAUAAUAUAC
rnacentral:lncRNA from 1 species